GCCGCAUAACAACAGUGAUGGAAAGAAGGAGCUGAUCCAAGUUGAAGCCCUCAUUUCUCCCGGCUGACACAAAACUGGGCAGAGUGGCUGACACAGCAAAAGGCUGUGCUGCCUUCCAGCGAGACCUGGAGAGUUGGGUGGGGAGAAACGGAAUGAGAAAGAACAAGGGCAGGUGAUCCUGCCCCAGCAGGGGGAUUGGACGAGGUGAUCUUUGGAGGUCCCUUCCAAUUCCUGACAUUCUGUGAUUCUGUGCAAAGUUGGUUCACGGUAGUACUUUUGCUGCUGGGAAAUAGGAGCGCUGAUCUUUGGGAAGUUCCGGAUGCUGUCAGGAGUUAUUCAAGCCCAUUGGUGUUAAUUUGAUCCUGGACUGGCUGCUGCUUGACAUGCUGUCUGCACAGAGGUAACACAUGCAUUAAUUUGUUUCCUGUCCUCUGCUGUUUUGUCUCUUGUUUUUAGUUAAUGCUGAAAACCCACCUACGGCUGUGGUUGGGAAAUUGGUUCACUUGCUCGAUCGGACCCAGAUUUUCAGGAGGAGCUGGAGCUAAUGAAACUGUGUGAGGAAGCUGUGACCUUGAUCCGAUCUAAUCAACAGCUUGAAAAUGACCUCAA